CGCUGCUGAUGAUUUAAGCAGUGAGUAAUCUCAACUGCACUCGUCUAAAAUUUUGGCCAGCUCCCAUCAAAAUUCAAGGCCCCAAUCCGGAUCUGACCUACAUCUCACCUCGCAAGGUCAUUGGCUGCUUACUACGAAGUGAUAAGAAUGUUGUGUAAAUAGAGUUAUAGGUUAGGUUUGGCAGUUAGUAGUACGGAUUUGUUGUGUAGUGAUAAGAAGUCAUUUCCUUUUAAUAAUUAUUUUAUUGUUUUAAUUUUUGUUCCAAAAUGACUGUGAGUCAGGGUGUCAUUAGCAACUUCAAAAGAAUCAUGAAUACUUAUCCUUUAGCAAGAGGGAUGUUAUCCUAUUCAAUAAUCUGGCCCUCAGGAUGUGCAGUACAACAAGUUUUGAUAGCGGAGGAGGAGAAGAUAGAUUUUGCUCGGGUAGCAAGGUUUAGUCUUUAUGGUGCUCUUUACGUUGCUCCCACCCUCAAUAUAUGGCUAACAAUUGCCCGACGAAUAUGGCCCGCCAACAAUCUACGCUCAGCUAUAACGAAGUCAAUUGUAGAGCAAAUAACAUACACGCCCAUCGCCAUGACCAGUUUCUACUUCGGCAUGACUUUACUGGAAGGACGAACGAUCGAACACGCUAAGAAUGAAGUGAAAGAGAAGUUCUGGCCCACUUAUAAGGUUGGGGCUUGCAUAUGGCCAGCAAUACAAACCUUCAACUGGACUUACGUCUCUGACAAAAAUCGCAUUGCGUUUGUCAGCAUGUGCAGUUUUAUUUGGACAACUUUCCUGGCUUACAUGAAGCAUCACUACAAUGUACCUGUUGAAAAGAGCCAAGCUUUAGUUCCAUUAGAUAGAUAACGAAAUCUCCUCCAUGUUGAGCAUUUUGCAUUUUUUUUCUUCUCGCUUUGGAAGGUAUAAACAACAUGGUUCUAUUCUUUGCAUUCGAAAGAAGAAGGUAAUCACAUAAGAUUUCGUGAUUUUAAAGUUCCUAUUCUCAACGUCCUUUAAAGGAAGAUGUUGGAGUUUGUGGGAUGUGUGUCAUCAAUCUUGUUCGGUUUGCGUAUACUUUGAAUCUAGUCACUAGGCUUAGAUGGAGCUUAUUAGCUAGGCUUUUGUUCAAUUUUGAGUUUUUUUUAAACUCAUAAGUACUUUACAUAUACAAACGCAAAGCGUUGUAUGGAAGCAAGUAGUGGAUGGGGACGUCUUUUCAUCUUUUUUAGUUCUGUUUAAAUUGAGGACCUAUUCAAGAUGAUUUGAAGGUCUCCCAUCUUCAAUUUAAAUCAAUUUAGAUCGAAAGGAAAACUGCCAGAAAGAAAAAAAGUUUCUCAUUUCCCAGAGGUAUAUUUCGUUAUUUUCUUUCAGACUUAUUCAAAGUUUGAAAUCAGGGGUGUAGAAUCUUCCAAUUUUCCAUGAUUUCACGUGCCCACCCAAUGGCUCUCCAUAGUUUUCUCUUCACUUCUCCACAAAAUUUCCCUCCAAUUCUACAGUGAUGACCUUUUUUUUCUUGUUUCCUUUGAUUUCUAACUUUUGACCUCUAAAUAUUGUCCCCCUAUCCACAUUUAUAAGAGCUUUUCAUAUUUUAACAAGCCUGGGUGAGCAUGUAAUCGAGCAUUUUCUGCACCCUUGGUUGAAGUUGCUUAAAUAACUGUGGAAAGCAUUCAGUUUUGGCAAGCACCAAUGUUAAGCAUUUUUGGCGCAAAUGAAGGAGAAUAUCACAAAGUUAUUUUUCCAACCUCAGUAUUUUACACAAUGCACGUUACUUUUUUAGAAUUCAUUCAUUGUUUUACAACUUUUUUUUGGUUGUACUUCAUUCAGAGGUAGAUUUUCUUAAAGGUUAAGUAAGAACCCAAGUGUUCACAGUGAUAACUUCUACACGAUUCGUCUUAAAAGGGAAUGGACUGAUGCUGCCAUCUUAAAAUGAAUAAUGCUAAAGACUUGAUCUCAUGACAGUCAAUUUUUGACCAAAUGAAUAGUCCUGGUCUCUGUUGAUAGCUCAAGGACCGAAACGUUCAAUGAGGCCAAGCUGAUUUCUCUGCCAUUAUUAGUUUUAAAAUAGUAGCACCAGUCUACUUUAUUUUAGAGCGACCUAUGUAUUUGUAUUUGACACCCCAUUGAAAUUGACCAUACGUUAUUUCUUUCUCAGAAAAUCUUUCUAAUUUUUAAAAUUCUGUUUUAAUUAUUCACAUUCCAGCCCCAUUGAUAUCCUUUUGUACAUAACCUACAUAUUUUAUUGAAAUUUAAAGGACCACACUCAGGGGUUGGAAAAUUCUCCAAUCGUCCCAGCAAUUUUGGAUUAUUUAUCAAUACUUUUUUCUAAUCUCCGUAAGGAAAUUUAGAGAGGUAUUUUUGUUUUGUAUUCAGAAUCUGCAAAUAUUGUAUAUUAAUCUUUAAGAAAAAUUAACGUUCAACGUUAGGCUUGACUGUAUCAUUAGAAUAACGUUCAACGUUAGGCUUGACUGUAUCAUUAGAAUCUUAAAAUAUUGGCUGUGACUGCAUUUUGUCAGUGAAACUGCAGGGAAGCAUAUCUCAGUUUGCGAUAUUGCUGACUUCAUGUCAUAUUUUAUUUUCUAAGUAGAAAAUGACACAACACCAUUUUUUGAAGCUUCAGUGAUUUCUCUUCUCUCUAUCAGUACUCUAGGAUCAAAAGGUACCUUACUCCAUUUUAGUCAUUUUGAGAUAUCGGGGGGAAACUGUCGGCCUCUUUGAUUCCAAUGUAAAUCGCAAUUCUUGAAACUCCAUAUCUGAUAACUGGCAUAAGAUAGGGCCACCAAAUUUCCCACACAUACGAAGCUGUUAUUAGAGAUUUCCAAAAUGCCAUUAACUUGAUUUUUCUAAUAAUUUGCGUUAGGUACUUUAUGGCUCUGGAAUAUGGAUAGAAAGAGAAAUCUAAAGAGUUCAAUGUCAGUCUGGUCUCAUUUGAUACAUUAAAAGAUGUGCGAGAAUUUUGAAACACCGCAAACAAGAUGCGCAGUCUUGCCGUUUUACUGUCAAAAUGCGUAAAAGCAAGAGAAGCCCUAAAGGGAUGUUUUAGUAUGGCUUAGAGUUGAUGAGGAUAAACCAAAUCAUUCAAAUUUUUAAGAGUUGGACGAUCUUCCUCUGGUUUGAAUUAAUAAAUACCCUAAGUUUCUUUGAAGCAAACAGAUAUGAACUAUCUGAUAUUGUCUAGCCUCAAAGUAUUCACUGUUUGGUCCUGAUUCUCAGUCAAGGAGGGCAUCAAAAGAGAUAAUAGAUUUAUUUUUUGACAAUGCUGGUGCCUAAUGGCCUACCUCUUACCCAUUUACUUAAUGUCCCUAUAACUCCUUUGACAUUUUUGGGUGUACCCCUGUGCUAUGCUACAUAGUUAAGUAGGUAAUUAUUGUUAGAUUGUUAAGUGGUAACGGAGAUUGGGUAGGUACUUGAAGGUUUUCAUGUUCAGCAUAAGAACCAUAGAAUAAUUUGAAUUUAAAGAACGAUCAGAACUGCACAAGGUUAGUGAUUUUGCCAACAGUCAGUAAAAUUCAGUAUUAAACUGAAAUUCUGAUUAGAGAGAAAAAUCUCAUCUGAGCACACAUUUUUCUGCAAAGAGAUAAGUGUACUGUUUGGUGUGCCAAUGGUUACGACCAAUCAGGAAGGCAAUUGUAAAAAAUCACCAACUCAGUCCAAACAACUUGUGCCUUGGACAGCAACCUACUCGUCAUGAGAACGUAGAGCAUACUUAUUUUUAGUUGUUAGCGUUGCGUUGUUAGCCAUAUCCGUGACACAUUCAAUCUCUCAGCAGUUAAAGAUGACCAUAUGGAAAUAUUUACCAUAUCGUGCACAGUGUUAGAAUAUGGUAAACGUACAGGUUUGAUUCCUACCAUGUUUACUCCUCCAUCAUACUCAUAGAAGAUUCUGAGCCAAGUCAACUUAAUGAAACAAAGGCAGCUAUCAUUGUUUUCUGUCAUCAUUUUCUGCUGUUUCUUUCAAUGGACACAAAGCAUUAAGUACAUUAUUUUGUCUCUUUUUUUUACAUUUUUUUUUAAUAUCAAUUUUGACAAUUGGUAUAAACGCCGAAGACAGCAAUAAUUUGGUUGUGAAUUCAGUUUAGAUUGAUUAUCAUGUGAGAUGUGUAUUUAAAAAUCUCACUGUAGAGACGAGCAAAGGUUGGAUUAAGGACACAAAGAGUUCCAUUACUCAAACAAGAUGUCCCACGAAGAUAGCCCCUGAGAGAUAAGUUACCUUUCCUCAGAAAUUAAGGGCGUUUUAGAGAAGUGUUACCUCAGAUCAACAAGGGAAUAUUUUGAGCUGUGUACAAGAGCUUAACGUAGAACCCAGUGAAAUGAUUGUAACUUCAUUCUUAACAAUAAAUCUGUUCCAUCAAGAUGAAACAUUAUUUUAAUGUCAGAUUAGUAUAAAUUAACGGUUAAAAUAGAAUACUAUUUUCUAUGAAUAUCCAACGUUACUCCCACCACUAACCGAGUAAGCCCCACUUUCCCUCAAAGAUGGUUUGAUAAAUUGUUGGUUUAAUGCUACUGCCUCAUUCGAACAGUUGAAGUAUCAAACCGUGAAUACCAGAAAAAUGUUAAAUUCCGAAGAUGUAUUAUUAUCCUUUCAAUGUUGUAAGCAUGGAAAUACCCGAGUCUUUGAUAGCAGAAUUGAUCAAAACCCACCGUUCAAAUUACAGUUGUCAAAGCAAAUACGUCAUUGAACCAGACAGUUUUAUUUUUUAGAGGGAGCUUUGCAGAGUGCACGGCAUGUACCUGUGUUUAAAUUUGUAAAUUAUACACCAAAUUAAUCAUACCAAAAAUUUGUUUUAACAUUUACUGUAACAUUUUUAAAUAUGUGUGAUUCCUUCAGUAACUAUUAUAGAAUUUUUAAAAUAAUUGCCUGAAUAGGUGGCAAAAUGCAAGAAAGAAGACUGAUGAUAGCCGAAUUUCACUAGAAAUGAGAGCUUUCAUUAUUAACUCUAAGAAAAAUUCUCUAAUUUAAUAUUGUGAAAACUGAACUGAUGUUUAUGAAACUCUCGAACAAUUAUUGUUUUUGGAUUAAUAGUCAAGUCUACAAGACUGGCUGUGAACUGUGAUAUUUGUCAUUUAUUUUAUAAUACUGAGUAAGUAUCCACAAUCUUUAAGUGGCUUAUCAGUAGCAGAUUAAUGCGAGUCACAUCAAACCGUAAAUCCUAAGAUAUUUUGGCCGAUUGUACAAUAAUCAUUCAAGACUCAUGAGACAAUUUGUCCUGGGUAAAAAAAAAUUGAUCUUCAAAACUUAUGCGAAACUCAUUAGGAUUGUUUCAGCCUCAAUAUAAAAUGAAGAGAGCUCUGAGGGGUUUAAUUCAAGUAAAAGUUUAGAACCAACUGAAAUAGCAAUAAUGUUCUAAGCAUUCAGAGCUAGUAAUUUUCUCUUCUUUAACAAAUAGUUUGGAAGCGUCAAGGGUUCUUUUCUACCUGCCUUAUAUUUAAAAAUAUGUCCAAAAACUUCGUCAGGUAAUUUUUAUAAAUUUUUGCUACUUACCUUUCAUUUUUGGUUCAAUAAUAGAGUCAAGGAAGAAAUGACCAUCACAUUGUGUAUGGUCUCUGACUGCAAUCAAAAAUUUUGUCAUAGCCUUUCCAUGUCAAUUCAAGGACAGUUCUGGCAGACACCUAGGUAAGACAUCCAGUCUUUGCUUUUCAGCAAAGCUCAAGAUUCUACUUUAAGUUCUGUCUGUUGUUCGAUUUAAGGUGACUUUCACCAUUGGAAACACACCUUUUUUUUAGCUCAGAAGUCCUUGCAAUCCCCCUUCCUCCUCUCAAUGACAUUAAGGUCUCAAAUGGAUAGACCUUUUAACAGAUUCCUUUCAUUAACUCAAUGUAAGAUCAUACCUAUACUAGAAGUAAUUUUGGUGAGCCAAAGGUUCGAUGUUCAGUAGAACUAAUUCUUGUCGUUUAGCUCCCUAUACGGAGCAUUCUUGUUGUUUUCAGGAUUUCUGUUUUUCAAGGAUCUUCUGAUUUUGUUUCUUACUGUCUUAUAAUUUUAGAUCAUUUUCUUUUCAACUGAUCUGCAUCUGUUAAAAAUUCUUUAAUAGAAUUAUUGUUAACUCUCUUUGUUACUUUGCUUGUCCUUUGGCGAUAAGUCUCAAGUAAUUUGACAAAUAUUUAUUUCGGAAUAAAUCAUGUUACCAAAAA